UACAGAGGGUGCGAGCGUUGUCCGGAAUCACUGGGCGUAAAGCGCACGUAGGCGGCUUUUUAAGUCAGAGGUGAAAUCCUGGAGCUCAACUCCAGAACUGCCUUUGAUACUGGAGAGCUUGAGUCCGGGAGAGGUGAGUGGAACUGCGAGUGUAGAGGUGAAAUUCGUAGAUAUUCGCAAGAACACCAGUGGCGAAGGCGGCUCACUGGCCCGGUACUGACGCUGAGGUGCGAAAGCGUGGGGAGCAAACAGG
rnacentral:rRNA from 1 species